rnacentral:lncRNA from 1 species
AUGGGGAAGCAGUGGCUGCGAGUGACAUGCUCCCUGAGGUCACAGGUUCUGAAUCAGAGACUGCAAACAGGGGCUACUCCUUCCUCUCCCAGCUUUCCUGGUGCCCUGCAGGGGCUCACCGAACAAGAUUCCUCUUCUUCCCCAGAGCACGGAACCCCUGAGGAUGGCCAAGCGCGUGGCUUUAGCAGGGGACUUUGCGGGUGCCACUUCACCUGCUGGGUUCCCUCCUGCUCCCUCCACCGGCUGGCAGGGCCCCAUCAGCUUCCUCCUCUCAUUCUUACCUCCUCAAGCCCACUCCCCUCUCCUCUGCUGUCCCCCUCCUCUCCUCUCCCCAGGACAUCUCCUCCGCGUGCUGGUUGGGUUGGUUCCUGGUGCUCGCUCCCCCUGCAAGCACUGGAGACUGUAUGCCCUGUAGCCAGUCCUGCGGCUUCCCCUGGGGUUGCGCGGGGGCGUUGGGGUCUGCACCUGCACUCUGAAUCCAAAGUGCGCAGCAGACAGCAGGGCUCCCAGGCCGCGCCCCGCACUCACCUGCUUCUGCCCUCGUCUCGCCGUCCGGGGCCUGGUCCUGCCUGGAAGUCAGGGGCUGCUUCCUGCGUGGCCAGCAUCACUGCUAUCUUUCUUCUUUCUUCUUUACGGCUGUUUUCUGGUGUGGGUGGAGGACCGGAUGUUCAUACUUUUAAAAAUUUAUUUAUGUAUGUAUUUGAUAGAGAGAGAGAGACUGAGAGGGAGGAGAGAGGGAGAGUGAGAGCGAGAGAGAGAGAGAGAGAGAGAGAGAAGAGAGAGAGAAGAGAUGGAGAGCUUUCCUAUCUACUGGUUGACUCCUGCACCCUGCCCCAAAUACUCACAGCGGCCAGUGCUGGGCGAUGUGGAUCUCAAUCCGGGUCUCCCACCUGGGGGGCAGCAGCCCUCCCCCUUGAGCCACCUCUCCUGCCCGCACAGUCAGAAAGCUGGAGUCGGGAGCCAGCAGUGGGCGUCUCAGCCUCCAGGCCAACUGCCCGGCCCUACGCGUUCAGCACCGGAGCUGAACUGGGAGAGGAUAGCGCGAGGUCUCCCGCGGCCGGAGCCCACACGGCCGGGACGCCGUGUGGAUGCUGUCUGCUGCUCGUUUGCUUGCUCCAGCGGUGGCCGCACCUGUGGCUGUGUGAGGCGGCUGCGUGCUGGAGGCGGAGUCUUGGUUCCUGUCUCAGGUUCCUCGGCUGCCUGCAGGGCUCUUGCCUGCGCUGGGAGAAGGUACCAGGAAGCAAGGGCUUGAUGGCCAGGUCUUGUGAGUCAGGCUGCGCAGCUGUCGACAGAGGACGAACCGUUGGCUCGGCCGGCUGCGCAGUGGACAGGGGUGGACACACCUUCUGGGAAAACGGAUUGGAGUCAGCCUAG